rnacentral:rRNA from 1 species
AUGACAGAAGUUACAAGAAGCAGUUACCCUGAUGACAAUGCCACCAAUCUCGAGAGCGUGGAGUUGAAGGUCCAAGUAGCCGAGCACCUCCAGCCUAGGGGCGUGGACAAUCUUGACGGGCCUCCGGUCGAAAAUGCUUUGGAAGAGCAGGCGCUCCAGGCAGGGGGCAUCCUCCACAAUGAUUUCAUCGAAGCUGCAUCCCCAUUCCAUCACGGCGCGGAGGCUGCUGGACUUGAUGCGGAGGAUCGAACGGCUAAUGUACGCGAUGGCGACGGAGAGGAUUUUCAGCUUGGGGCAGUGCGCGAGCAAGGCAUCGACUUCUCUGUCCUCCAUGAUGGAGUGGAAAAGGCCGAGCUCUUCGAGGUUGGGGAAGGCUGGCCGGAGGGUGGUGGUGUCUGGGAAGUGCCAGCGCCAGACGCCUAUGUAGAGGCGGGUGAGGGAGGCACAGUCGAGGAUGCUGUCGGGGAGCGGCAUGUCGAGCGGCCAGGGGCGGUUGAAGAGGAUGAGGUCCUGGAUCUUCUUGGCGGCGAGGCUGGCGAUCAGGCGCUCGAGUGCGUGCUCCUGCCGGUGAAAGGAGGUGCGGAUGAAGCGCACGGCACGGACGGGGCCGGGGUGAGCGGCCACGCAGCGCGAGACGGCACGCACGGCGUGGAAAUCGCGGGGCCCGUCGGCGGCCCUGAGGUGGGCGUCGUCGACGAGGAGCGGGGUCGCCGCCCACACGCAGCGCCAGCGGGUGGAGAGUACCAUGGUGCGCGCGGCUUCCUUGGUGGGGAGGCGGGAGAUGAUGUUGCAGAGCAGGUCGUCCGGGAGGCGGCUGAUGUGGUCCUGGCCGUCGCCGCCCUGCACGGCGGGCCGGUCGGCGGCGGCGGGGGCGGCGUCCUCGGAGUCGGAGGAGGUGAGGGAGAAGUGGUCGUCGUCGGAGUCGGAGGACUCGUCGGCGUCGGCGUCGGGCGCGGGGACGAAGGGCGCGGGGAGGAGGGAGAUGAUUUGGGAGACGAUGCCGUCCAUGCGGUCCUGCGCGGACGGGCCCUCCAGUGCCAUGUUGUUGAAGUACGCCUCGAUUUGGGCGUAGGUGACAAAUUCUUCUUCUCCUCCCCCUGCGGCGGCGUCCAUGGCGGCGGAGGCCGGCUAGGGUUUGUCGGCGGGCGGGAGGAAGGGAGAGACCUCACCUCCGCGAGAGGAGCAGGCUGA